rnacentral:rRNA from 1 species
AGUGAACGCUGGCGGUAGGCCUAACACAUGCAAGUCGAACGGCAGCACAGUAAGAGCUUGCUCUUACGGGUGGCGAGUGGCGGACGGGUGAGGAAUACAUCGGAAUCUACUUUUUCGUGGGGGAUAACGUAGGGAAACUUACGCUAAUACCGCAUACGACCUACGGGUGAAAGCAGGGGAUCUUCGGACUUUGCGCGAUUGAAUGAGCCGAUGUCGGAUUAGCUAGUUGGCGGGGUAAAGGCCCACCAAGGCGACGAUCCGUAGCUGGUCUGAGAGGAUGGUCAGCCACACUGGAACUGAGACACGGUCCAGACUCCGACGGGAGGCAGCAGUGGGGAAUAUUGGACAAUGGGCGCAGGCCUGAUCCAGCCAUACCGCGUGGGUGAAGAAGGCCUUCGGGUUGUAAAGCCCUUUUGUUGGGAAAGAAAAGCAGCAGGUUAAUACCCCGCUGUUCUGACGGUACCCAAAGAAUAAGCACCGGCUAACUUCGUG